rnacentral:rRNA from 1 species
CAAUAGCGUAUAUUAAAGUUGUUGCGGUUAAAAAGCUCGUAGUUGGAUUUCUGCUGAGAACGACCGGUCCGCCCUUUGGGUGUGUAUCUGGCUCUUUCUUGGCAUCUUCUUGGUGAACGUUGCUGCACUUGACUGUGUGGAGCGCUACCCAGGACUUUUACUUUGAGGAAAUUAGAGUGUUUCAAGCAGGCAUACGCCUUGAAUACAUUAGCAUGGAAUAAUAAGAUAGGACCUCGGUUCUAUUUUGUUGGUUUCUAGAGCUGAGGUAAUGAUUAAUAGGGAUAGUUGGGGGCAUUCGUAUUUAACUGUCAGAGGUGAAAUUCUUGGAUUUGUUAAAGACGGACUUCUGCGAAAGCAUUUGCCAAGGAUGUUUUCAUUAA